UACGAAGGUGGGGAGCGUUGUUCGGAAUCACUGGGCUUAAAGCGCACGUAGGCGGCCCAUCAAGUGCCUUGUGAAAUCCCACGGCUCAACCGUGGAAUUGCUUGGUAUACUGUUCGGGCUUGAGGCAGGUAGGGGCACGUGGAACUCUUGGUGGAGCGGUGGAAUGCGUAGAUAUCAAGAGGAACGCCGGUGGCGAAAGCGGCGUGCUGGGCCUGUCCUGACGCUGAGGUGCGAAAGCCAGGGGAGCAAACGGG
rnacentral:rRNA from 1 species